CUUCAGCACCCUGGCGGGACUGGUCUUUGACUGGACGAUUGAGAAGGACACGCAGGCGGGCGGGUUCUCAGACUCCCACAGUGCCCUGCGCUGGUUUGGAGGAUGCCAAAAAUCUUGUCAUCACCUUCCCAGAAACAAAAGUGCUGAGGGCCAAGGCCAUUGCUAGAGCCUGGAGUGUGUUGGGAACUGGCUGGCCCCAGGGCUGCCUGAAGAUCAUUUGGCUGCAUCUCUCUGCCUCUCUGGAGCCUGCUACUGCCGGAAACAAGAGGACGUCUUGUGUCUCCCCAAGUACUUUUCCUGGUAAGGCUUUGUCCCAGGUGAGGAAAAGCAUCAUCCCACAGCAAAUCCCUUUAGCAUGGACUGCCAUUGCAUCUUCUUUGUGUAUAAUUCCUCUGAAUUCAGUUUUCCAGGCUGGUCUGCCAGCUGGCCAUCCUGCAGUCCAAGUCAAGCUUUCCUGCCUUUUGUGCCAAUAGACAAAGACUUAGUGAGUUAAUGUGAUUCCUUGGCUCUUCCUCUAGAGAAAUUAUGUCUUGGUUACUUUUUCAUUGCGGGGACAAAACACUCAACAGUCACAAUUUAAAGGAGGAGAGGUUUAUUUUGGCUCACACUUUCAUAAGUUUCAGUCCACACUCCAGCUCAGGGCCAGCAUGGUGGAAGGGCCUGGGUGGAUGAAUGCGGCUUGCAGCAAGGCAGCUGGGAAGCAGAAGGAGGAACUGAGGAAGGAGAUACGCUCUCUCAGGUCAUGCCCCAGUGACCCACAGCUGCUGACAGGGCUCUUCCUGCUAAGAGCACACAGUAAGGACCUCAUCAGUGAAUCAAUCCACUGAUAAGCACAGCGCCCCCAUGAUCCAAGCAUCUUCUGAAUGCCCCACUGUAGGGAACAGGGAAAGGGGACGUUACUAGAACCUCUGCAGUAUGUCCUAGUCUCCUUCGAGCCAUGACAGCACAAGGCGAAUCAGUUUAUUACACAGAAAAGAUAGAAAAAAUGAGACUUAGAGAAGAAGCUGAGCUUUGGGCCUGAUCAGUGCUGCUCUGGGCAGCAAAGAGGAAAGCCCCCAGCUUGUGGCACCUUUAUUCAGUACAUCGGCAGAAACAAAUGUAGCAGAUGACUCAGGGCAGAGAGGUCAGUACAUGCACAGAAACACAUGUAACAGAUGACUCAGUGGUCAGAGGAAAUCUUAGAAUAAUGAGGAACUACGCAGAUGAAGAUUUUGUUCCUCGCAGGAUGUCUUCAGCUGGUGUAAUCUUGUCCUGGAGCAUCACAGCAUCACCGGACCAUUGAGGUCUUAGCUGUGACCAGAGGCCAAAAUGGAGUUAUGUCUUGAAAUGUCGUAGCUGGCCUGUAGGCAGGAGAACUACACCUGAUCAAAUGAUUUUUCCCCGAAAUUAUGUAGAAUUGCUCCCGGGACCCACCAAUACAUGAGGCUUUUGGAAUGAGAGGGCCUUCCAGUUCCAAACCAUAGCAAAUUGCUUUGGAAAUCCCACAGGUUUCAACAAAAUAUAUGUUUCAUAGUGUAAUCAUGGGCAAAAUAUAUGUUUCAUAGUGUAAGCAUGCUCUGGAAUUUGGAACUUAGGCUAUUUUGGCUUUUGAAAUGUAAAUGAAAAUCAAAGGUAUUUAGGUUGUUGUUAAUGGUUUUAAUAUAUCAGCUCUCCAGGGCUGGGGAUUUAGCUCAGUGGCAACGCACCUGCCUUGCAAGCACAAGGUCCUGAGUUCGAUCCCCAGUACCAAAAAACAAAGCAAACAAAAAUAUAUCAACUUUCCUGAGGGUUUGAAACCUUGUAAUUAUUAGGAACAAAUGUAAAAGCAGAAAGCCCUCUAUUUUUAGGUAUCUUUUUCUGUACAUUUGUAGUGCUAGAUUUUGAAACCCUGGGUGGGCGGAGUGGGAGAAUUCAGUGUUAGUUCACUUAAUCUUCAUGAUGCCCCAUGUUUUCUAUUGAUUUUAGCAUUUCAUAGGUGAGGACACUGAAUGACACUCAGGCAUAGGCAGGGACUUGCUGAAGGGGGUGAGCAGGAUGGAAAGCAUAUGUGUCCAGAUACAUGGCCAGCAGGUGGUGGGCUAGGCUGGUGCGCAAUAUCUAGAGUGGUGCAUUAAGGAGGGAUGGAAGGAUGGUGCAGUCAGUGUCUGUGGCCUACAUGCCGGGUGCUUGGUCCUUCACGGAACCCUGCUCACAAGGUUUCAGAAUCACCCUAUCUCACAAAGGAGUUGGCAGGGUGGCAGGUGGAAGCAGGGUUCCUAGUCUAAUUUAUUAGUCCCUUGACCAUAUUUCAUGUCCAACAGAAAGGGAGAUGAGAUGAGAAAGAAGGCUUGAGUGUCCAAGUGUUGAUUUGCCUAAAUCUUGUCUUCCACUUUCAGGAAGGUGGCACAGUGGGGUAGGAGAGCACAUGGGUCAGGUGGGGUCCAGGCUUGGCCGUGGGUGACAGCACAGCUGCUCACUGAAGGACACUAGUUAACAAGACAGACUCCAUAUUGCUGCUUAACGACCCACUUGCCUGCCCUUUAGAUGAACUCAGAAGGAGGAAGCUUAAAAAACCUCCGCUCCUUAGAAAGUCUCUUUAGAAGUAACAAUUAAUCAACUAUUGUUUUACAAAUGUUCUAACAGCAGGACAUUCUGCUUCUGUACCUUUUGCUUGCUUUACUAGUUCUAUCCCAUAGGGGGCCCUAGAAACUGCUGGCCUCAAAGUUCCAUAAAAUAUGUUAAUACCCCCCCCCCCAGUCGAGGCUCGAGUCCGAUGCCGGCCAGUAAUAAACUCCUGUGUGGAUUUAAUAUCCGUCUCUGGUUGGUUCUCUCUCACUGGGUGUAACACUCACUACCUCUUUUCUCACUAGGAAAAUGAACAUCAAGGGCGGGGAUUUAGCUCAGUGGCACCGCAC
rnacentral:lncRNA from 1 species